GAAACUUAAAGGAAUUGGCGGGGGAGCACUACAACGGGUGGAGCCUGCGGUUUAAUUGGACUCAACGCCGGAAAACUCACCUGGGGCGGCAGCAAUAUGUAGGUCAGGCUGAAGGUCUUACCUGAAUCGCUGAGAGGAGGUGCAUGGCCGUCGUCAGUUCGUACUGUGAAGCAUCCUGUUAAGUCAGGCAACGAGCGAGACCCGUGCCCACUGUUGCCAGCAUAUCCUUCGGGAUGAUGGGUACUCUGUGGGGACCGCCGCUGCUAAAGCGGAGGAAGGUGCGGGCUACGGUAGGUCAGUAUGCCCCGAAUCUCCAGGGCUACACGCGGGCUACAAUGGCCGGGACAAUGGGUCCCUACCCCGAAAGGGGUUGGUAAUCUCAUAAACCCGGCCUUAGUUCGAAUUGAGGGCUGUAACUCGCCCUCAUGAAGCUGGAAUCCGUAGUAAUCGCGUUUCAAUAUAGCGCGGUGAAUACGUCCCUGCUCCUUGCACACACCGCCCGUCAAACCACCCGAGUGAGGUAUGGGUGAGGGUAUGGACCAGUGCCGUAUUCGAACCUAAAUUUCGCAAGGGGGGUUAAGUCGUAACAA
rnacentral:rRNA from 1 species